UACGGAGGAUGCAAGCGUUAUCCGGAAUUAUUGGGCGUAAAGCGUCCGCAGGUGGCACUUCAAGUCUGUCGUCAAAGACCGGGGCUUAACCCUGGAAAGGCGGUGGAAACUGAAUUGCUAGAGUGUCGUAGGGGUAGAGGGAAUUCCCGGUGUAGCGGUGAAAUGCGUAGAGCUCGGGAAGAACAUCGGUGGCGAAAGCGCUCUACUGGACGACAACUGACACUCAGGGACGAAAGCUAGGGGAGCGAAUGGG
rnacentral:rRNA from 1 species